rnacentral:lncRNA from 1 species
UGGACGUUUCAGGUUUGGUCGGGAUGAGGAGAGGGCAUCUGCACGUGCCGUCUGGAGUUUGUUUUAACCUUCGUCGCUCGGCUAUAAGACGACGGCGAGCGUGAAGUCUCGCACGACACCGGACGACGAAACCUUGUUCAGCUACAUCGAUUGAGGAAUCAAGAUGAAGACCAUCCCAAUUUUUACCUUUUUGGUCGUCCUGGCGGUGGCCGUGUGUGUGUCUGCCACGAGUGUCCCAUACUGCGGGAAUGUAAACUGCGCUGAGGCAAACUGCCAGCCUGCUGACUGCACGUGCGGGUCUUACAAGGGAAACUGCGGCUGCUGUGACAUCUGUUACAAGUGCCCCGGAGACGUGUGCACUCCAUUACACCAAGAACGCUGCAGCGGUGGCCAGACAUGCGAGCUGGAUGAGCCUGGAACCUUCUUUUUUGGCGGAAAGGGCAAAUGCAAGCCAUCAUCGUCUAC